GUGUCAUGGUCGUUGUUGACCGCUCAUACGAUCCUGCAAUUGCAUUGCAGCUUAUGCAGGGGGUCAUAUAACGGUCAACAGAGACUCUUGACAU
rfam:Medicago truncatula strain A17 chromosome 5, whole genome shotgun sequence.